rnacentral:misc_RNA from 1 species
UUCAUUGUAUAUAUACGUAGAUUGUAUGUGUAUAGUGAUUUGUUUAAUUUGAGUUUAUAAUUAAUUUGUUAACAAACAUUAGCGAGCGCAUUUGUAACAAAAAUAAUAAGAUUCCGUGUUUGUCGAAAUUUGGAAAACAUAGCAGACAAUGCGGCCGCCAUUGUAAGUUGUUCCCCAAUAUCGGUGCUCCGCUGGCGUCGCUUAGCUCAUUUGUUCUCUCGUCUUCGUUACGUUCACCAUUCUCGUUUUCGCGCGCAUUCUUUUACUAUUCACUUGCCAUUCGGUCAGUCAUUUAAUUACGCCACAUACAUACAUACAUACAUGUGUAUAUGAAUGUGUGUGCAUGGAUUUUGUUUUUCUUUUUGAUGUGCUAGACAAUCAUGAACAGCGAAAGAGAUGUUUAUGAUAUUGUGGCGACUAGUGAUGGACCAAAGUUGCAGGGCUUUCGCAAAAACUCUUUAGAUGAGUUGUACAAUUCUAAAGUGCAACAGGAAAUUGAAUCCAAUUCGACACCUGUGCAAUUGUUGCGACGUGUCAGUGGGACGGUAACACAGAGCAUACUCAGUGACUUGGAGCCGGAAACGCAACACUUGCUGGGUGGAGCUGUGAUGGGGCCUAGAGAUGGUGCCCAAAAGCGCCCGCAGCCCCCACCGCGAUCCAACACGAAUUCCAGGGUACAGCAGAACCCUUUCAACGAGAGUGGAACAGGCAAGCACAUCAAGCAAAAAGUGCAGCUAAAUACACUGGCGCACAGUGACAACAUGACACAAUGCGGCAACACUUCUGGUAGUCCCGCUUCGCAAUCACAUACCAAAUUAGACAUACACAAUUUCUCGGAGGACUACAAUAAUGGGUCGUCUGAAGUCGUUGGCGAGAAUGUUGGCGAGACGGCACAAAACGCUGCAACAAUAAUUUUAACGCCGACAUCAUUAAAUUUAACAAACACACCGCCAAAUGCGCCCGGUGGGGGUGGCGUUGGCGGCAGCAACAUCAACAACAGGGCAAACGCAGACGUUGGCAACAAUGACAGGGGUUAUCCGGCGCACAGCGAACAAUACAAAGGACCUAAAUGGUGGCGUCGCUUAUUAGUUCACUGGUCUCUUGUGUCGGAGCAUAUUGCCCUGCUUAUGAUUUUUCUAGCGCUUUGGACCUUGGCCUUGGCAUUGUUACCACAGUAUGCUACACCUGAAACAGUGAUAAUGCGUAUUAUACUACUCUUUGUUGGUGCUCAAAUAUCUGGCAUAUUAGUUACCUUUAUACAUUUGCCAGACAUGCUGGGCAUGCUCUUCUUCGGUGUCCUUUACACCAAUAUUGGCUUGGCCAAUUUCGAAGGUUAUGAGCGCUUUGAACUGUUUUUAAGAGAACUGGCAUUGACCAAUAUCAUGCUGCUAGCUGGUCUCGGUCUUGAUGGCAGUGCAUUUAGGCGGUUGUGGCUUAUGAUUCUCCGACUGACACUCGUUCCGACAAUAGUGGAGGUUGCCGUUAUAGCUGUGCUGGCCUAUUUUACAUUGUCCAUGCCCUGGAUGUGGGGGAUAGCUCUGGGCCUGGUCAUCACAGCAGUCUCACCCAAUGUUGUCGUCACAGUCAUGCUUAAGUUAAAGGAGGAUCGCCUGGGUCUGAACAGUGGCAUACACACCCUAAUAUACGCUAUGACCACGUGCAAUGACGUCGUAGCUAUCUUCAUGUUUGGCGUCGUAAUCAGCAUUAUAUUCUCCACAAGCUCACUGACACAAAAAGUAUUGCAAGGACCCAUUGGUAUUGGUAUUGGACUUGUUUUCGGCUAUCUUUACGGCAUGAUGCUUCACUAUUUGCCGUCGCGGAAUGCGGUUUAUGCAAAUGGACUGCGCUUUGCUUUGACAAUCUUGGGUGGCUCAAUAGCUGUAAUGGGCAGCCGAAUUAUCGGCUAUACUUCGGCCGGUGCCUUAGGUUGCGUAAUGUUGGCCUUUAUAGCUGGCAUUGGUUGGAAAAGGGAGGAGCUCAAACUGACCCCAUAUCAAAUGCAAGCACAUCAAAUAGCAAGUGUUCCUAAGCGUCUGGAUCUGCUGUGGAAAUUUCUUAAACCCGUCUCAUUUGCACUAAUUGGCAAGGAAAUCAAUUUUGCCGUGCUUGAAGGUCGCGUAAUUGGCUAUGGAGCGCUGCUGGUACUGUUUGGAAGUUUGCUCCGCUUAGCUUUUGCAUAUUUAUCUACAUAUGGCGGAAAUCUGUCAAGAAAGGAGCGUGCUUACAUUACAAUUUCCGGUUUUCCCAAAGCAACCGUCCAAGCUGCCUUGGGUCCGGUUGCUUUAGAUUUGGCUCGUUCAGCCAAAGUCGCAAGUGAUUUAACAUUGGCUAACAACGUGCUCAUAAUUUCGGUUCUGGCCAUUAUUUUCACAGCGCCGUUGGGUGCUAUUUUGAUGCUUCGUCUUGCGCCGCUCUGGCUUAAACAUGGAGAUCCUGAGGACGUAGCUGAAACGCCUGUGACACCCGGUUCAUCAGAACCAGGCCCACUGACCAAUGUGGGUGAACUUAAUUCAGCGCACGGUCAACAAAAUAUUAAGUAGAGUAGCGAGAGCGCCGAAAAUUUAUCAACUAUACCAUUCGUGGAAAUAAUUGGCCUGGGUAUAUGGCUAAUGAUCAAGGGCACUUAACGGCAGCUGCUUACGAUUCACAUGCGAAUGCUCAUCCAGACAGGUGAACAAAGGCUAAGCAAGAAUUUCGUUAAGGAUUUUAUGAAAACGGGCCAAGAGAGAUCGAUGUGUUUAUUCAUGCGCACGGACGGAUAGAAGGACUACGUUAUUGAUCCUGAGUGUAAUAUAUAUUUAUUCUCCCGCAUAUCCUUUUCAUGAUACAAUUCUCCCACAAAUACAGUAUUGUUUGCUUGUAAAUAUGAUAUACAAUAAAAAUGUCUAUACAAUUAAGGAUACAAAAGUGGUUAAAUUAAGGCUUAGAGUACAAAUUAUGUCUUCCAGUAAUUUAUAAUAGCAAGAGUUUUGUUUUAGAUGGAUAGAUUUAAAGUACAAAUCAUAGUAGGAGUAAUGAUAGUAUUAGCGUACAUCGUACAUUUAUCGUACAAUUAAAAAAUCACUUGAUCUUAGACUAUGCAGCAAAAGCAGGAAAUAAACCCAAAUCAGGUAUUAACGAAAAGUUUUUUCAGAAACCUCAAACACAAAUUAAAACUGAAGUUCAUUGUCAUUGUUAUAGCCAAAAUAAAGAAAUACUAAGCUUUUAACUGUCUCUCGCUAAAAACAUUGAAGGCCAAAUAGUUGAUUUUCUCAUUGUGGAAGGCUAAAUAAUAUGGAUUUUAUGUUUUAAUUUCUACGCAUAUAAAGCAAAUCAAUAAAGUGUUUGUGAAUAACAAUGGCCUAAACCAUUACCCAAUCUUUUUGAGCAUUACACACGCGUCCUCACAAAUACAUAAUUCGCUUUUUAAUCUUUGCGUGUCUGGAUGUACUUUUAUUAAUGUACGUACAUAGUAUAAAUUUGUGGGUCGUAAAUAUUUUGCCAUAUGCACAUGUCGAUAUCUUUGAUUAGCUAAUGGAAAUAACUUUUUAGUAUGUGAUUUUUUUCUGUGAGUGUAUAUAUACAUCAAAAUAUUUGUUUCAUAUGCAAACGCGUAUUGGCAUUUAUGUUUGUAUAAUUGUAAAAAAGAAAUUUAGCUACACUC